rnacentral:rRNA from 1 species
CGUCCCUGCUCCUUGCACACACCGCCCGUCGCUCCACCCGAGUCAAUUCAGGGUGAGACGUGGUCCUUUGGGCUGCGUCGAACCCUAGGUCGGCAAGGGGGAG